rnacentral:rRNA from 1 species
UACGUAGGGAGCAAGCGUUGUCCGGAAUCAUUGGGCGUAAAGCGCGCGUAGGUGGCUUCGUAGGUCCGUUGUGAAAGUCAAAGGCUCAACCUUUGAAAGCCGAUGGAUACUGUGAAGCUAGAGUACGGAAGAGGCGAGUGGAAUUCCUGGUGUAGCGGUGGAAUGCGCAGAUAUCAGGAAGAACACCUAUGGCGAAGGCAGCACUCUGGGACGGUACUGACGCUGAGACGCGAAAGCGUGGGGAGCGAACAGG